GACUCAACGCGGGAAAUCUUACCGGGUCCGGACACACUGAGGAUUGACAGGUAUCCAAAACUGACACGCGUGCUAUCACUAUCACUUAUCUACUAGCUCGGUUCGCUGAGUCUGUGGGUGGGUGUGUGUGUGUGUGUGCGCGUGUGAGGAUCAUGAAAUAUGCUAGUCCUUUCAUGAUUAUGUGAUAGGUGGUGCAUGGCCGUUCUUAGUUCGUGGAGUGAUCUGUCUGCUUAAUUGCGUUUCGCUUAAGGGCCUAACCUAUAGAUUCUAUACGUGCGCAUAUAUCGCACACCCACUCACACUCUGUCAUAGUACCAUAGACCCCAUAACCCUUCAUUGGCGUGCGCGUGUCUGUGAGUAUAGUUGGCGUGUGUGGGUGAGUGUGUGUGUGUGUACUAACGAAUCUUAAUGGGCUCUGAAAGCAACGAACGUGACCGCAACCUCUUGUUGCUUCUAUAUAGCACGCCAUGCAUAUAUGUGCUCUCACCGCUAUGCUAUGCACUAUCACUCUUCACGGGGUGUGCGUGUAUGGCGUAGUGUGUACAUAUGUGUGUGUGGUGUGCUAGCGUGUGGCAUAUAUAUAUGCUAUCACUAUCGCUCUUCACUCGGUUCGCUGAGUGUGUGGGUGUGUGUGAUGGUGUGUGUGUGUGCUACACAUAUGGAAGCCAACUAGAGGGACCGCUGUGAUUUCCUUUAAGCCAGAGGAAGGUUGCGGCAAUAACAGGUCUGUGAUGCCCUUAGAUGUUCCGGGCUGCACACGUGCUACAAUGAUUGUCGCAGUGAGCAUCUCACACACUGUAAUAUUGUAUUACUCACGCCGCAGCCAGUGCUCUGGCGCUGUGUGCGCAUAUGUAUGUAUGCAUAUAUACUAUCACUAUCACUCUUCACUGAGUGUGCGUGUGUGUAUGUAUGUAUGUAUGUAUAUGCCACACAGUGCUAGCUAGCUGCGCGGUUAAGCCUACCUCGAAAGUAAGCUGGGUAAUCAAUUCGCAGUAGCAAUUUCCGUAUACGCCCAUUCUAGUAGAACUCUCAUACACACAUAUACGCCACUGCGUGUUCUCUCACGAGAUUAUGCAUACGUGUAUGUGUGUGUAUGAAGGUUGGGGCAGUUGUUAAUUCAUAGUGGGGACAGACCAUUGUUAAUUGUUGGUCUCGGUCUUAACUAGGAAUGCCUUGUACGGGUCUUUGGUUCACCAAACCACCCGGAAUACGUCCCUGCCCUUUGUACACACCGCCCGUCGCUCUUACCGAUGGACUUCGCUGUGAGUUUGAGGGACAGGGGCAUACACCCACACACACACACGUAUGCUCUGCGUGUAUGAGUGCGUGCUCUGUAUGCUCUAUGGAAACUUAAACGAACAGUGUGGUCUAAAG
rnacentral:rRNA from 1 species